GACGAACGCUGGCGGCGUGCUUAACACAUGCAAGUCGAACGGAAAGGCCCUGCUUUUGUGGGGUGCUCGAGUGGCGAACGGGUGAGUAACACGUGAGUAACCUGCCCUUGACUUUGGGAUAACUUCAGGAAACUGGGGCUAAUACCGGAUAGGAGCUCCUGCUGCAUGGUGGGGGUUGGAAAGUUUCGGCGGUUGGGGAUGGACUCGCGGCUUAUCCGCUUGUUGGUGGGGUAGUGGCUUACCAAGGCUUUGACGGGUAGCCGGCCUGGGAGGGUGACCGGCCACAUUGGGACUGAGAUAGGGCCCAGAAUCCUACGGGAGGCAGUAGGGGGGAAUAUGGCACAAUGGGGGGAAGCCUGAUGCAGAAACGCCGCGUGCGGGAUGACGGCCUUCGGGUUGUAAACCGCUUUCGCCUGUGACGAAGCGUGAGUGACGGUAAUGGGUAAAGAAGCACCGGCUAACUACGUG
rnacentral:rRNA from 1 species